UACGUAUGGAGCAAGCGUUGUCCGGAUUUACUGGGUGUAAAGGGAGCGCAGGCGGUCUGGCAAGUCUGAUGUGAAAGGCCGGGGCUCAACUCCGGGACUGCAUUGGAAACUGUCAGACUGGAGUGUCGGAGAGGUAAGCGGAAUUCCUAGUGUAGCGGUGAAAUGCGUAGAUAUUAGGAGGAACACCAGUGGCGAAGGCGGCUUACUGGACGAUGACUGACGCUGAGGCUCGAAAGCGUGGGGAGCAAACAGG
rnacentral:rRNA from 1 species